rnacentral:rRNA from 1 species
CCUACGGGUGGCUGCAGUGGGGAAUAUUGGAUAAUGGGCGAAAGCCUGAUCCAGCCAUGCCGCGUGUGUGAAGAAGGCCUUCGGGUUGUAAAGCACUUUCAGUGGGGAAGAAAGCCUUGGGGCUAAUACCCUCGAGGAAGGACAUCACCCACAGAAGAAGCACCGGCUAACUCCGUGCCAGCAGCCGCGGUAAUACGGAGGGUGCGAGCGUUAAUCGGAAUUACUGGGCGUAAAGCGCGCGUAGGCGGUCUGAUAAGCCGGUUGUGAAAGCCCCGGGCUCAACCUGGGAACGGCAUCCGGAACUGGCAGGCUAGAGUGCAGGAGAGGAAGGUAGAAUUCCCGGUGUAGCGGUGAAAUGCGUAGAGAUCGGGAGGAAUACCAGUGGCGAAGGCGGCCUUCUGGACUGACACUGACGCUGAGGUGCGAAAGCGUGGGUAGCAAACAGGAUUAGAUACCCUUGUAGUC